GACGAACGCUGGCGGCGUGCUUAACACAUGCAAGUCGUACGGUAAGGCCCUUUCGGGGGUACACGAGUGGCGAACGGGUGAGUAACACGUGAGUAACCUGCCCACAACUUUGGGAUAACGCUAGGAAACUGGUGCUAAUACUGGAUAUGUGCUCCUGCUGCAUGGUGGGGGUUGGAAAGCUCCGGCGGUUGUGGAUGGACUCGCGGCCUAUCAGCUUGUUGGUGGGGUAGUGGCCUACCAAGGCGGCGACGGGUAGCCGGCCUGAGAGGGUGACCGGCCACAUUGGGACUGAGAUACGGCCCAGACUCCUACGGGAGGCAGCAGUGGGGAAUAUUGCACAAGGGGCGCCAGCCUGAUGCAGCAACGCCGCGGGCGGGAUGACGGCCUUCGGGUUGUAAACCGCUUUCAGCAGGGACGAAGCUUUUUGUGACGGUACCUGCAGAAGAAGCACCGGCUAACUACGUG
rnacentral:rRNA from 1 species